CCUACGGGAGGCAGCAGUGGGGGAUAUUGCACAAUGGGGGAAACUCUGAUGCAGCGACGCCGCGUGGGCGAAGAAGUAUUUCGGUAUGUAAAGCUCUAUCAGCAGGGAAGAAGUAAUGACGGUACCUGAGUAAGAAGCACCGCCUAAAUACGUGCCAGCAGCCGCGGUAAUACGGAGGGUGCAAGCGGUAUCCGGAUUUACUGGGUGUAAAGGGAGCGCAGGCGGCACGGCAAGCCUGAUGUGAAAGCCCGCGGCCCAACCGCGGGACUGCAUUGGGCACUACCGGGCUGGAGGGCCGGAGAGGUAGGCGGAAUUCCUAGUGUAGCGGUGAAAUGCGUAGAUAUUAGGAGGAACACCAGUGGCGAAGGCGGCCUACUGGACGGUGACUGACGCUGAGGCUCGAAAGCGUGGGGAGCAAACAGGAUUAGAUACCCUUGUAGUC
rnacentral:rRNA from 1 species